rnacentral:rRNA from 1 species
UACAGGGGGGGCAAGCGUUGUUCGGAAUUACUGGGCGUAAAGGGCCAGUAGGCGGCUAACUAAGUCCGGUGUGAAAGUCACAGGCUCAACCUGUGAAUGCCGCUGGAAACUGUCUGGCUUGAGUCCGGAAGGGGCGAGUGGAAUUCCUGGUGUAGCGGUGAAAUGCGCAGAUAUCAGGAGGAACACCAAUGGCGAAGGCAGCUCGCUGGAACGGUACUGACGCUGAGGCGCGAAGGCGUGGGGAGCGAACAGG